UCCGAGCGGCUGGGGUUGGGGGACUGGGCAGGAGGCUCCCUGUAAACAUUUGGACUUGGGCUGGGGCAGGGGCUGGUGUUGGGCAAAGCUGGGGGUCCAGGCUGGAGAAGCAGGGGCCCCUCCAGACGCAGCCUUGGGAGACUCAGCAUGUGCCCCCCUCCCCUCAUCACAGAACAAGACAAUGGUUAAAAACCAGAACAGAUGCCCAGAAGGGGGUACCAUGGC
rnacentral:lncRNA from 1 species